rnacentral:tRNA from 1 species
GGGUAGCCAAGCCUGGUCAACGGCGCAGGACUUAAGAUCCUGUCUCGUAGGAGUGCGUGGGUUCGAAUCCCACCCCCUGCACCA